AAAUCCGUUUGAUUUAUAGAUCGAUCGAAACGAAGGAGCGAUCGGAAUUUUUACGGUUGCCAAUUAGCCGGUCGGUCGGCCGGAAGAGACGACCCGAUUGUAAUUCCUGAUCCGCCGCCCGAUCUCGAGGAGAGCCGGCGAGCUUCCGGGAUUACGAUCCCCGCUUGGGUUGACAGGGACGUCAUAGAGAGAUACGCCGCUCGAGAUAGGAGGAGGAUACGAGCUGUAGAACUAGCUGUAAAUUAACCACACACCACGGAGCCCGGGUGCAUUCGUCGCUUCGUGUUCGCUUCGUCCUCCUCGGAUAUUCUCACCGGAUAUUCUUUCGGCGGUUUGCCCGUGUUUAUGCUGUAAAUCCUCUGGAAAACUUUCAACGCAUCGUCCAUACGACCCUGCGACAUGAGAAACUUUGGACUUUCCGGAAACAUGAAGAGACAAACAACACCGAUCAGUAUUGGUAUACUACAGGCAGAUAAGAAAAAUCUCCAGGAAUUGUAGACAAAUGCUCCGUCCCAAAGAACGAUGGACCACUCUUGAGGAAUGAUGAUCAACGCGAGCGCUAUAACAUGAAUUGAUCCAACUCGUAAACAAAAUGUUUUACAAUCUGUCGUAUAUAUCAUACCUGAGCUUACGAUAUUUCCAAGUGUGAUGCUAAAACCGAUCAGUAAUGGUAUUUUCCCUCUUCCUUUGUUUCCAUAGAAUUCAGAAGAGUACGCCACGAUGGAAGCGUGAGGACCGCUUAUACUGACAUCGCAUUCUGCAGAAGGAAGAAUGAUCCCAACACUGGAAGUGUUAAGGCUUGUUGACCAUGACACAGGAAUAAUUGAUAGAAGAAGAAAAUAUUGAAACUUUCCAUAACCAGCUGCGGUAAUGGCUCUCUCGAAAUUUGCAGACUUCUCCGUUUUAUUUUCUAUAUCUGUUACUUUACAAAUAAAAUUUCUUUACG